rnacentral:lncRNA from 1 species
CCUNAAAUCUAAAUUAAACAUACAAAAAUGUUACACUUAUUAAGAUACUGUCGUUUAUCUGUUUUGAGUUCGUAACAUAAUAUCAACGUCAAAUAAGUGUGGAAAGUUUCUAUAAAAACUUUGUAAUUCCUUGAGUUGAUUUAUUUGUGUGCGACUAAAAAUUAUUGCGAAAGUAAGUAAAUAUUUUGGUUGGUUGCGCACUAAUCGUGUCGUGCUAUUUUCGUACAAUGUAUGUCAUUAUCAUGUUGAAGAUUUUUUUAGAGAUACUCAUAUACUUAAUGAAAAAGUUAAUUUAAAAAAUUGGCCAAAUGAGCAGUGUUAGCAGCGGAAUAGCAUAUAAACGUCAAUUCAAUAGUCCCAGAAAUAAUUGUGGGUGUAACAAAAAAAAUGCAUUACAUAUUUUCCUUUCGGCAAUAAUAAACUAUGGACGAAGGUAUGUAGAGGUGAGAAUAAUCGGGAAGCUGGGUACGAGAGUCAUGCUGAACAUGGAUAAAUUUUACGGUAACAAGUUCGACUAACUAUCCUAAGCUCUCCCGCUUACGUUUCCAAGAAAUCCACUAGGAACAAGAAAUAAAUACAAAGGAUGAAUGUGUCAUAUUUUUUUUUAUGUUAAGUCAUCGGGAUGGCGCUUAAAAAUUUACAGUAGACGUCGUUAUACCAAACUGAGGAGCAGACACGUGAGUUGGAGCAAAAGAGAUAUUAGAAUUUCCCUCUUUCUUUUGAUUUUGAAAGUGCAUAUAAUUGUCAUAUGUUUAGAUAAAUAAUGAUUGAGAAUAUAAAACAUAAAACAGAUGUUGAAUUAUACCAUGACAUUCUGGAGACAGAAGGCUUUCCAGUUGGAAAGACAUUUGAACUAAAGUGAUUGAAAUCUAAACUAAUUCAUUAAAACAAUUAGCUACGUGUUUUAUUUGAAUUUUUGUAAUAUUGAAUAUAGAAUAUUGAUAUUGAUACACCUUCGCAUUUCUUCCCCCAAUGUUAAAUUUCAAUAGAACUAAUCAAGCAAUUUAAGAGAGGUAAAAAAUGUUUAAUUUAUAAUAUGAUCACACUAUGGUGUAAAGCUUAGCCCCUCUUAAAUUGCUUGAUUAGUCCUAUUAAUAUUGAUAUUCUUGAGAGGCAAAAUUUGAUAUAUGUACUUAUACAGGCCAUGUUUACAAUAAAAUUUCUUCUGAUAAUACUAAUACCUUAACAAAAUUUCUUUUGUACAAGAAUUUUUAUUUUGUUCUCUUAAAUAUCAAUGUCGUAGACUAUUACAAAAGUUUCUAAAGAUUAAGAAAUGUUUCUAUGUCCGAAAGUUCAUCGUUUUCAAGAAAAAUGUAGUUAAAAGUGCAGGCAAAUGUAAUUCCGGUCCCGGUAACAAUUGUACUGUAUUUGUCGUAUUUCUUUUGUAGAUUUUUGCUCAUGUAUUGUUGCUAUUUGCUAGAUUAGAUUAAUUGUAAGUGUGAUUCAAGAUGUUUAUAUUAGCAUGUAGUAAUUUAUUCUAUUAACCCUACCAAUCAGUCAUUAACAGUAGGUCAGUGUGCCACUCACUGUUAUCACAAUAGCGUUUAGUACGACAGAAUUGUGUGAUAUCAUCGUAAUGUAUGGAAAAUGUGAAUAUAAUGUUCAUGCAAUAAUCGAGUUGUACAGUCUUACGAAGACUUUCAAAACCGCGAGUCAUCUUAAAUGCGGUACAAGGAUUGCGAAAAUCCGGCAAUAUAUAGGUACCAUUUGAAAACCAUGGGCGUGGACAUCCGAACCAUAUCGCCAAUGUCGAAGGCGACAUCCUUGAGUUCACAGAUGACAACGCUGGCUCUUCUCAUGACAGUGUGACGAAUUUUAAAAGAGCACUAACCCGUGAUGAUCGCUGCAAAUGAAAUAGAUUAAAUACAAGACGUUUUAUGCGACUAAGGAGCCUGUCUUCCAGUACGGGCUUCUAAUUUCCAACAAUUUUUGUAAUGUACGUAUGUGUAUGUCCAGUGAUAUUAUUUCCGGAAUCAAUAACUCCUCGAUAAGUACCUACCUAAGCAAUGAUCAGUAAAUAAUUAGUUUUUUUUUCUAACGAACUGAUGGCGCUAUUAACAAAUCAUCAAGAAUAGUCAUAAACAGGAUAUGGCGCCUUAGCAAUACCUCACUAGUGGUUAUAAAUCUGCCGCAAUUACAUUACAGUUAUCCUGAUGAUACACAUUUACCGAUUAAUGUUUACGUAACCGACAUCUUUCUUUGUUUUUUGUUCUUAAUACAUGUUGAGGUGUAAUUUAGGUAGUGCAGCGAUGAACAAAUGUAAUUAUAUUAUUUUUUUAUCCUAACACGCGUCUAAACGUUAUGUGUAGUAGUAAAUUGCUUAUUUUUA